rnacentral:misc_RNA from 1 species
UCACGGUUUGCACCGGCAGUCUCGUUAGAGUUCCCGACAUGACUCGCUGGCAACUAACGACAGGGGUUGCGCUCGUUAUAGGACUUAACCUGACACCUCACGGCACGAGCUGACGACAACCAUGCAGCACCUUGUAAAUUGCCCGAAGGAAAAACUGUUUCCAGUCCUGUCAAUCUACAUUUAAGCCUUGGUAAGGUUCCUCGCGUAUCAUCGAAUUAAACCACAUGCUCCACCGCUUGUGCGGGCCCCCGUCAAUUCCUUUGAGUUUCAAACUUGCGUUCGUACUCCCCAGGUGGGAUACUUAUCACUUUCGCUUAGCCACUGAGGUUGCCCCCAACAGCUAGUAUCCAUCGUUUACGGCGUGGACUAC